UUGUGAGAUCAGAAAUUCGUUGCAUCCUUACACUUCCUACAUUUAUUUGCUGUAUUGAAAUAAUCUAAAGCAUCUUCAGAAAUUUAAAAGUGGAUAAUAAGAUUUCCAUUUUUCUUCAAUUUACUCCGUUGCUGAAAUGUUUAGCCAAGUGAUUUGUUUCAUUAUCAACUUAUUGCAUAUUCAAUUUAAGAGAACAAUAUGUACUCGGUAAGGACUCAAAGACGUUUUUGCUUGUCAGACUUCAUGCGUAAAAUAUAUUUCACGUAUACACGGCGAAAUAUUUCUUUCAAAAAAGUUCUCUGAUAAUUUCCUUGUGAAUAUUAAAGUAUUGGUGACAGUGAAUUCAAUUAACCUUCUCGACUUAUGUACUUAACUCUUUAGUUGUUAUACGCAAAUACACUGUUUUAAAUAAAAUAAAUACAAUUGCGUGAAUACA